AUUGAACGCUGGCGGCAUGCCUUACACAUGCAAGUCGAACGGUAACAGGUCUUCGGAUGCUGACGAGUGGCGAACGGGUGAGUAAUACAUCGGAACGUGCCUAGUAGUGGGGGAUAACUACUCGAAAGAGUGGCUAAUACCGCAUGAGAUCUACGGAUGAAAGCAGGGGAUCGCAAGACCUUGUGCUACUAGAGCGGCCGAUGGCAGCUUAGGUAGUUGGUGGGAUAAAAGCGUACCAAGCCGACGAUCUGUAGCUGGUCUGAGAGAACGAUCAGCCACACUGGGACUGAGACACGGCCCAGACUCCUACGGGAGGCAGCAGUGGGGAAUUUUGGACAAUGGGCGCAAGCCUGAUCCAGCAAUGCCGCGUGCAGGAUGAAGGCCUUCGGGUUGUAAACUGCUUUUGUACGGAACGAAAAGCCCUGGGUUAAUACCCUGGGGUCAUGACGGUACCGUAAGAAUAAGCACCGGCUAACUACGUGCCAGCCGCCGCCGUAACAC
rnacentral:rRNA from 1 species